rnacentral:rRNA from 1 species
AUUGAACGCUGGCGGCAGGCCUAACACAUGCAAGUCGAACGAGUGGCGGACGGGUGAGUAAUGUCUGGGAAACUGCCUGAUGGAGGGGGAUAACUACUGGAAACGGUAGCUAAUACCGCAUACCAUCAGAUGUGCCCAGAUGGGAUUAGCUAGUUGGUGGGGUAACGGCUCACCAAGGCGACGAUCCCUAGCUGGUCUGAGAGGAUGACGAGCAAGAGUGGAGAUGGGACACGGGACAGGAUCGUGAGGGAGGUAGAUGUGGGGAAUAGUGAAAGAUGGGCGCAGGCUUGAGGCAGCAAGGCGGGGUGUAGGAAGAAGGUCUUCGGGUUGUAAAGUACUUUCAGCGGGGAGGAGUGAUCGGCAGAAGAAGCACCGGCUAACUCCGUGCCAGCAGACGAGGUAAUUC